GCGGAUGGCCGGACGGCCGCGGGGGUCGCCGGUCUUCGGACCGAGACCCGCGAGGAAAGUCCGGACUCCAGGGAGAGAAGGCGGCGGGUAACGCCCGCCCGGGGAGACCCGAGGGAAAGCGCCACAGAGAUCAGACCGCCCCGGGCCCGGGUUUCGACCUCGGCCCGAGGCAAGGGUGAAACGGUGGGGUAAGAGCCCACCGCGCCGGCGGCGACGUCGGCGGCACGGCAAGCCCCGCCUGGAGCAAGGCCAAAUAGGGAUCGUGCGGGGGCCCGCUUGGCCUCCAGGGUUCUCCCGCCCGAGCGAUCCGGGUUGGCCGCUGGAGCCCGUCCGCAAGGGCGGGCCUAGAGGAAUGGUCGUCGGCCCCCUGCGAUGGGGGUCACAGGAUCCGGCUUACAGGCCGUCCGCGCGU
rnacentral:RNase_P_RNA from 1 species